rnacentral:rRNA from 1 species
GACAGAGGAGGGGAGCGUUAUCCGGAGUCAUUGGGCGUAAAGGGUAUGUAGGCGGCUAGUCAAGUCUGAGGUUAAAGACCACAGCUUAACUGUGGGAAGGCCUUGGAAACUGACUGGCUAGAGUGGGGCAGGGGUUGCGGGAAUUCCCGGUGUAGCGGUGAAAUGCGUAGAUAUCGGGAAGAACACCUGAGGCGAAAGCGCGCAACUGGGCCCUCACUGACGCUGAGGUACGAAAGCUAGGGGAGCGAAUGGG